GACGUAGGUGGCGAACGUUAUCCGGAAUUAUUGGGCGUAAAGGAUGCGUAGGUGGUGUAGUAAGUUAUCGGUGGUAAAUCGAGGCUCAACCUCGUGGAAGUCGGUAAUACUGCUAUGCUAGAGGAUAGGAGAGGUUAACGGAACUCCCUGUGGAGCGGUGAAAUGCGUAGAUAUAGGGAAGAACACCAAUAAGGCGAAGGCAGUUAACUAUUCUAUUCCUGACAUUGAGGCAUGAAAGCGUGGGGAGCAAAACGG
rnacentral:rRNA from 1 species